rnacentral:rRNA from 1 species
CCUACGGGUGGCAGCAGUGGGGAAUAUUGCACAAUGGGGGAAACCCUGAUGCAGCGACGCCGCGUGAGUGAAGAAGUAUUUCGGGAUGUAAAGCUCUAUCAGCAGGGAAGAGAAUGACGGUACCUGACGAAGAAGCCCCGGCGAACGACGGGCCAGCAGCCGCGGUAAUACGUAGGGGGCAAGCGUUAUCCGGAUUGACUGGGUGUAAAGGGAGCGUAGGUGGCAGGGCCAGUCAGAUGUGAAAAUCCGGGGCUCCACCCCGGGAGUGCAUUUGAAACUGUCCAGCUGGAGUGCAGGAGAGGUAAGCGGCUUUCCUCUUGUAGCGGUGACAUGCCUAGAUCUUCGGAG